rnacentral:rRNA from 1 species
AUGGACGGGGAAAGAUACCAGAACACACUCGCGAGGUGCUCGCUGGUCAAGGACCUUGAGAUGUUUCCAUAUGGAGAUUGUACUCAAAUUGGGGAGAGAGGAGUAAAUCUUAGUGGUGGUCAGAAGCAGCGCGUCCAGCUUGCUCGUGCACUAUACCAAAAUGCAGACAUCUAUCUUCUUGAUGACCCUUUCAGUGCUGUUGAUGCCCAUACAGCCACAAGUCUCUUCAAUGAAUAUGUCAUGAGUGCUCUAUCAGACAAGAUCGUUCUUUUAGUGACCCACCAAGUUGAUUUUCUACCUGUAUUUGACUCCAUUUUGUUAAUGUCAGAUGGAGAAGUUAUCCGGUCUGCACCUUAUCAAGAUCUAUUGGCAGAUUGUGACGAAUUUAAAGACCUUGUAAAUGCCCAUAAAGAUAUGAUGGGUGUUUCCGAUCUUAAUAAGAACUCACACUCUCAAAGAGCUAAGGAAGUUUUGAUCAAGGAGACAGUUGGUAUUCAUGGAAGCAGAUAUACAGAGUCUGUGAAGCCAUCGCCGGAAAAUCAACUGAUCAGGAAAGAGGAAAGGGAAACAGGGGAUGCAGGUGUUAAGCCUUAUGUGCUUUACCUGUGCCAGAACAAAGGUUUCCUGUAUUUCUCUUUUUGUGCUAUUUCUCACAUAAUUUUCAUAGCUGGGCAAAUAUCACAGAAUUCAUGGAUGGCUGCUAAUGUUCAAAAUCCUGAUGUUAGUACACUGAAGUUAAUUUAUGUGUACAUUAUUAUUGGAGUUUGCACAAUGCUCUUCUUACUAUCAAGAUCUUUAGGAAUCGUUGUUCUUGGGAUCCAGACAUCACGAUCCAUAUUUUCCCAGUUGCUCAAUUCAUUUUUUCAUGCACCAAUGUCCUUUUUUGAUUCUACGCCUCUAGGAAGGGUUCUUUGUCGGGUCUCUUCAGAUUUGAGUAUUGUUGACCUUGAUAUUCCAUUCGCCUUUGUGUUUAGCCUUUCUACUAGCUUAAAUGCAUAUAGCAAUCUAGGGGUAUUGGUUGUUAUUACAUGGCAAGCUCUGUUUGUAUCCGUGCCAAUGAUAGUUUUGGGAAUUUGGUUGCAGAGGUACUAUCUAGCCUCGGCAAGGGAAUUGAUGCGGAUCAAUGGUACUACCAAGUCUGCUCUAGCGAAUCACUUAGGUGAAUCGAUUUCAGGAACUACAACAAUAAGGGCGUUUGAGAAUGAAGAUCGUUUCUUUGCUAAAAAUUUGGAUCUCAUUGACAAGAAUGCCAGUUCAUAUUUCUACAAUUUUGCAGCAACUGAAUGGCUGAUUCAACGUCUGGAGAUAAUGAGCGCUGCAGUUCUUUCUUUUUCUGCCUUUGUCAUGGCCGUUUCUCCUCAAGGAACUUUUAGCCCUGGUUUUGUGGGAAUGGCAUUGUCCUAUGGUCUUUCCCUAAAUAUUUCAUUUGUUUUCUCUAUUCAAUGCCAAUGCAACCUUGCAAAUCAAAUAAUCUCAGUGGAACGUGUGAACCAGUACAUGGACAUACAAAGUGAAGCAGCAGAAGCUGUUGAAGAAAAUCGACCACUACCAGAUUGGCCCCAAGAUGGCAAUGUGGAGAUUAGAAAUUUGAAAAUCAGGUAUAGGGAAGAUGCUCCCCUUGUACUACAUGGAAUUAGUUGCAAGUUUGAAGGUGGAGAUAAGAUUGGUAUAGUUGGUCGAACGGGAAGUGGCAAGACAACAUUUAUUGGUGCAUUGUUUCGACUUGUUGAACCUGCCGAAGGGAAAAUAAUUAUAGACUCUGUGGACAUCAGUACAAUAGACUUACAUGACCUGCGUUCGCGUUUGGGUAUCAUUCCACAAGAUCCAACACUUUUUCAGGGUACAGUAAGGUACAAUCUAGAUCCUCUUGGGCAAUUCUCAGAUCAGCAAAUAUGGGAGGUUCUUGACAAAUGUCAACUUCUUGAAGUUGUCCAGGAGAAGGAACAGGGAUUGGAUUCACAUGUUGUGGAAGGCGGGUCGAACUGGAGUAUGGGCCAAAGGCAGCUCUUCUGUCUGGGACGCGCACUCUUGAGAAGAUGCCGCAUCUUAGUUCUUGAUGAAGCAACAGCUUCUAUAGACAAUGCAACAGAUGCUAUUCUUCAGAAAACGAUCCGGACGGAAUUCAAAUAUUGCACUGUCGUUACAGUGGCCCACCGUAUACCAACAGUUAUGGACUGCGAUAUGGUACUUACAAUGAGCGAAGGGAAAGUAGUGGAGUUUGACAAACCUACGAAGCUCAUGGAAACUGAAGGAUCUCUCUUUCGUGAGCUGGUCAAGGAGUAUUGGUCAUACACAUCUAACACAAACUAA